UUAAAUUGAAGAGUUUGAUCAUGGCUCAGAUUGAACGCUGGCGGCAGGCCUAACACAUGCAAGUCGAACGGUAACAGGAAGCAGCUUGCUGCUUCGCUG
rnacentral:rRNA from 14 species